UACGUAGGGGGGCAAGCGUUUGUCCGGAUUUAUUGGGCGUAAAGAGCGUGUAGGCGGCCUGACAAGUCUGCUGUGAAAACUCGAGGCUCAAACCUCGAGAUGUCGGCGGAAACUGUCUGGCUAGAGUCCGGGAAGAGGAGAGUGGGAAUUCCUGGGUGUUAGCGGGUGAAAAUGCGCAGAUAUCAAGGGAAGAACACCUAUGGCGAAGGCAGCUCUCUGGGACGGUACUGACGCUGAGACGCGAAAAGCGUGGGGAGCGAACAGG
rnacentral:rRNA from 1 species